GAUGAACGCUGGCGGCGUGCCUAAUACAUGCAAGUCGAGCGAACGGACGAGAAGCUUGCUUCUCUGAUGUUAGCGGCGGACGGGUGAGUAACACGUGGAUAACCUACCUAUAAGACUGGGAUAACUUCGGGAAACCGGAGCUAAUACCGGAUAAUAUUUUGAACCGCAUGGUUCAAAAGUGAAAGACGGUCUUGCUGUCACUUAUAGAUGGAUCCGCGCUGCAUUAGCUAGUUGGUAAGGUAACGGCUUACCAAGGCAACGAUGCAUAGCCGACCUGAGAGGGUGAUCGGCCACACUGGAACUGAGACACGGUCCAGACUCCUACGGGAGGCAGCAGUAGGGAAUCUUCCGCAAAGGGCGAAAGCCUGACGGAGCAACGCCGCGUGAGUGAUGAAGGUCUUCGGAUCGUAAAACUCUGUUAUUAGGGAAGAACAUAUGUGUAAGUAACUGUGCACAUCUUGACGGUACUUAAUCAGAAAGCCACGGCUAACUACGUG
rnacentral:rRNA from 1 species